CCUACGGGUGGCAGCCGUAGGGAAUCUUCCGCAAUGGACGAAAGUCUGACGGAGCAACGCCGCGUGAGCGAAGAAGGUCUUCGGAUCGGAAAGCUCGGUUGUUAGGGAAGAACAAGUACGGGAGGAAAUGACCGUACCUUGACGGUACCUGACGAGGAAGGCACGCCUAACUACGUCCCAGCAGCCGCUGUAAUACGUAGGGGGCCAGCGUUGUCCGGAACUAUUGGGCGUAAAGCGCGUGCUGGCGGUCUUUUAAGUCUGAUGUAAAAUCUUGCUGCUCAACCGCAAGCGGGUAUUGGAUACUGGGAGAUUUGAGUAGGGAAGUGGAAAACAGAAAUGCUGGUGUAGAGGUGAAACGCGUAGAGAGGGGGGUAAAAGCCAGUGGCGCAUGGGGCUAUCUAGACUGUAUCCGCCGCUGAAGGGCGGAAGUGUUGAGUACAAACAGGCUUAGGUACCCCCGUAGAC
rnacentral:rRNA from 1 species